UGCAAGUCGAGGGGUAACGGAAGUAGCUUGCUACUAGACGACGACCGGCGCACGGGUGAGUAACGCGUAUGUAAUCUGCCUUGUACAGAGGGAUAGCCCAGAGAAAUUUGGAUUAAUACCUCAUAGUAUUACUGAGUCGCAUGAUUUGGUAAUUAAAGCUCCGGCGGUACAAGAUGAACAUGCGUGACAUCAGCUAGUUGGUAAGGUAACGGCUUACCAAGGCUACGAUGUCUAGGGGUUCUGAGAGGAUGAUCCCCCACACUGGUACUGAGACACGGACCAGACUCCUACGGGAGGCAGCAGUGAGGAAUAUUGGUCAAUGGACGCAAGUCUGAACCAGCCAUCCCGCGUGAAGGAUGACUGCCCUAUGGGUUGUAAACUUCUUUUAUAUGCAAAUAAACCUACUUUCGUGAAAGUAGCUGAAGGUAGCAUAUGAAUAAACACCGGCUAACUCCGUGCCAGCAGC
rnacentral:rRNA from 1 species